rnacentral:rRNA from 1 species
GAUGAACGCUAGCUACAGGCUUAACACAUGCAAGUCGAGGGGAAACGAUAUUGGAAGCUUGCUUCCGAUAGGCGUCGACCGGCGCACGGGUGAGUAACGCGUAUCCAACCUGCCCACCACUUGGGGAUAACCUUGCGAAAGUAAGACUAAUACCCAAUGAUAUCUCAAGAAGACAUCUGAAUGAGAUUAAAGAUUUAUCGGUGAUGGAUGGGGAUGCGUCUGAUUAGCUUGUUGGCGGGGUAACGGCCCACCAAGGCGACGAUCAGUAGGGGUUCUGAGAGGAAGGUCCCCCACAUUGGAACUGAGACACGGUCCAAACUCCUACGGGAGGCAGCAGUGAGGAAUAUUGGUCAAUGGGCGAGAGCCUGAACCAGCCAAGUAGCGUGCAGGAUGACGGCCCUAUGGGUUGUAAACUGCUUUUAUAAGGGAAUAAAGUGAGCCUCGUGAGGCUUUUUGCAUGUACCUUAUGAAUAAGGACCGGCUAAUUCCGUGCCAGCAGCCGCCGUAA